rnacentral:tRNA from 1 species
GCCCCGGUAGCUCAGACGGUCAGAGCGGCAGCCUCGUAAGUUGUUGGCCGCGGGUUCGAAUCCCGCCCGGGGCUCCA